rnacentral:lncRNA from 1 species
ACACAGAAGAAAAAAUAUACCUAAACAUGUUAGGUAAAACAGAUAAUGACAGUUACAAAGAUUUAGUUAAAGCACAUGAAGAAUUUAUUAAAUCUUGUGUUGAUAUUAAAACUAAAUUAAAAUAUAAAGACACAUUUUUUUUUAUUAUUCAAAAACUAAUUCAAAGAAAUUUACAUGAUUUUAAAAAAAAACAAGGUUUUCAUAUUUUUAGAAAAAAUGAUUAUACUAGCGAAUUAUCAGUUGAUUAUGUAAAAAAUUCCAAUAUAGAAGAAAAAAUUAAAGAACAACUUCUGAAAAAACUAAGUAAUGAAUUAUCAGCUAGUAAAUAUUACCCUUUUCGUAUUUUUAAAUGGAAGGGCGCUUUAGAAAUUAUCAAUAUAACCACAUUAAUGCUUCCAAUAACCUGUAUAGGAUUAUUUUUAUCGAAAAUGGGACUAUUUUCCGUAGCUGUGAAUAUACUACUAACUGCACAUUUUUUAACUUUCAAAAAAGAUCAAAAAAAAAAAUGGAAGUAUCCACAUUUGUUUUAACUUUGUUUCCGAUACUUUUACAUAUUUCUCUUGGUAUGGUUUCGAAGGAUCUAUUUCUUAAACAUUAUAAGGUAAUACGUACAUACGUGCAUAUACGUAUAUAUACAUGAUAAUUACCACAAUCAAAUGUAAUGAUAUUUUACAGGCAACUAUUUACUAGAGCAUAAUAUGCAUCUAUUUAUAUAAGUAGUUACAUAUUAUGCUACAUUAUAAACAAAAAACAUCUUUCGUUUUGCUUUUUUUUACUUAUAAGCUAUAUAUAUAUAUAUAUAUUUAUUUAUAUAUAACCUUUUUUUAACAGCAUAUAAUACCGACGUUUAUAAAAGUAGAAAACAUAUUAUCAUUUUUCAUAAAUAUUCAAUUAUAUAUUGCUUCCCUUAUUUAUUUUGUUAACAACAAUGACGAAGAACCUACAGAAAAUUUAGAAGAGGAAAUUAAAAACGACAAUAUGGAUUUCCAUAAUGAUAUAUAUCAAUAGGAUACAAAUACAUAAAAAUAAUACUUUCCUUUUUUUUUUUUUUAUUCAAUUUUUGUAUGUUUUUAUGUUAUAGAUAUUUUUUUUUUUUUUUUUUUUUUUUUUGUAUAUCGUUAAAUUGUUUUAUAUACGUAAAUUAAAGCAAUAUUAUAAUAUUUGACAAAAAAAAAUAUAUAUAUAUAUAUACAUAAAUAUAUAUCAUAUAUAUUUUUUUUUUAUUUAAUCAUUUCUUUUGUGCACCUCUCUUUAUUUUUUGUUUCGUUAUAUUUUGAAUCCGAAAUAUAAAUAAGCAUAUAUAUACAUAUAUAUACGAUUCCUUUUUUGUUUUGUUUAUAACUGAUUCAUAACAAGUGUCAAACUUAAAAAACUAAAAAAC